UCUCUCCUCUAAUGCACAGCUGCUCUGUCGCACUGAGCCAGGUCUGAUUUGCUGCUGUCUCUCUCAGCAGUGCCAGCAUUCCGACGUUACUAAAACCUAACAUGGAAUGGACUUUCCUGUGUGGUGACGCCCCUUUAACAUCAACAACCAACCAACAAACCGACCAAUGGAUUCAAAGCUACAAUACAUCAGUUUUUACACACAGAUUAACCAUUAUCAUUCUCCAGUGUCACGAGAACAAGAUUUCUACUUAGAAAUAUAGAUAUUCUAACUGUAUCAAACUGAAAUGGAAAAAUUAAGUGAGGUAAAUCAGUCAAUAUGAACCAAAAUAAAAUCCCGAUCCCUACACACAGUGUUAUUGCUAAUGGAGACAGUAGCCGUAGAAACGGAUGUCUAACCAGAAUGUGCACGUUGCCACGGUGAUGCGGUAUUUAUAAGCACCUCUAUAUUAGCCAGAGAGAAAAAGACAAAGUCCCAAAGAGGCACCUAUAUAGUUCAGUUCAUACAGAUAACUUGCUCCUGGGGUUUAUUUUCUAACUUUUUAUUUUUAUUUUCCUUCGAUCAUUCAACAUCAUUUCUCUGUCUUUUUCUGUCUUUAAAAAAAAAAAAGACUAGUUUUGUCUCUACUGAGAGAUGCUAUACUGCGACAGCUGUUGAUCUGCGUUUUAUUUGAGGAGUAAACCUGUGGCUACAACAGUGAUGAUUAUAUGUGUAAAAAGAGGAGAGAAAAAGUAUAAUGUUUUUUUCAGUAACUAUCAUAUUGUCUUUUAGCCUGAUGAUGUUGCCUUCAAAUAGGGUUUUCUUUCUUUCUGGAGAAUCCAACUACGAUCCAAUCAUCCUUCUAUGUCUUGCCUGGGUUUUCUUGUGUCUGAAAUGGCACCCAAGUGUAUUAUAUUUGACCAGAGCCUAUUGGUUUCCCUAUUGGUUUCCCUAUUGGUUUCCCUAUUGGUUUCCCUAUUGGUUUCCCUAUUGGUUUCCCUAUUGGUUUCCCUAUUGGUGUCCCUAUUGGUUUCCCUAUUGGUUUCCCUAUUGGUUUCCCUAUUGGUUUCCCUAUUGGUUUCCCUAUUGGUGUCCCUAUUGGUUUCCCUAUGGGUUUCCCUAUUGGUUUCCCUAUUGGUUUCCCUAUUGGUUUCCCUAUUGGUUUCCCUAUUGGUUUCCCUAUUGGUUUCCCUAUUGGUUUCCCUAUUGGUUUCCUUGGGUUUCCCUAUGGGUUUCCCUAUUGGUUUCCUAUUGGUUUCCCUAUGGGUUUCCCUAUUGGUUUCCCUAUUGGUUUCCCUAUUGGUUUCCCUAUGGGUUUCCCUAUUGGUUUCCCUAUUGGUUUCCCUAUUGGUUUGCCUAUUGGUUUCCCUAUUGGUUUCCUAUUGGUUUCCCUAUUGGUUUCCCUAUUGGUUUCCCUAUUGGUUUCCCUAUUGGUUUCCCUAUUGGUUUCCCUAUUGGUUUCCCUACUGGUUUCCCUAUUGGUUUCCCUAUUGGUUUCCCUAUUGGUUUCCCUACUGGUUUCCCUAUUGGUUUCCCUAUUUGUUUCCCUAUGGGUUUCCCUAUUGGUUUCCCUAUUGGUUUCCCUAUGGGUUUCCCUAUUGGUUUCCCUAUUGGUUUCCCUAUUGGUUUCCCUGUUGGUUUCCCUAUUGGUUUCCCUAUUGGUUUCCCUAUUGGUUUCCCUAUUGGUUUCCCUAUUGGUUUCCCUAUUUGUUUCCCUAUGGGUUUCCCUAUUGGUUUUCCUAUUGGUUUGCCUAUGGGUUUCCCUAUGGGUUUCCCUAUUGGUUUCCCUAUUGGUUUCCCUAUGGGUUUCCCUAUUGGUUUCCCCUGUGUUUUCCUAUUGGUUUCCCUGUGGGUGUCCCUAUUUGUUUCCCUAUUGGUUUCCCUAUGGGUUUCCUGUGGGUUUCCCCUAUUGGUUUCCCUGUUGGUUUCCCUAUUGGUUUCCUAUUGGUUUCCCCUAUUGGUUUUUCUAUUGGUUUCCCUAUGGGCCCUGGUCAAAAGUAGUACACUAUAUAAGGAAUUAGGGUGCAAUUUUGGAGGCAGCCCUUGUGUUGUUUACAAAGAUGUUUGUACAGUGGGGUUUUUCAAUUGGGGUUGUGGUCAAAGAGGGACUGGACAUUUUAACAAGCGACCAAACUUCUGAGACACCAAUGGCCGACGUGACUGGGCGAUCCUCAUCAUGUUUUUUUGUUUUUUUAACUUUAUCCUUCCAAGGCCGUCUCUCAUUGGUUGGUUUGUCCAGUUAACCAAUCCCCUCUCAUGGAAUCUGCGAUCUACAACAGGAAGUAUAGAUUUUUUUUUUUUAAAUGAGGGUUUUUAAUACGAAAAAAAUAAAAUAAAAUAAUGUCAUUGGUGA